rnacentral:rRNA from 1 species
UACAGAGGGUGCGAGCGUUAAUCGGAAUUACUGGGCGUAAAGCGUGCGUAGACGGUUGCGUAAGUCAGAUGUGAAAGCCCCGGGCUCAACCUGGGAAUUGCAUUUGAGACUGCGUAGCUAGGGUGCGGAAGAGGGAAGUGGAAUUUCCGGUGUAGCGGUGAAAUGCGUAGAUAUCGGAAGGAACACCAGUGGCGAAAGCGGCUUCCUGGUCCAGCACCGACGUUCAGGCACGAAAGCGUGGGGAGCAAACAGG